GACGAACGCUGGCGGCGUGCCUAAUACAUGCAAGUCGAACGAAGUGGGGACGGGUGAGUAACACGUGGGUAACCUCCCAUCAGAGGGGAUAACACUUGGAAACAGGUGCUAAACCGAUACUGAUGGAUGAACCAGCGGUGCAUUAGCUAGUUGGUGAGUGCACGGCUCACCAAGGCCACGAGGCCUAGCCGACCUGCGAGGGUGAUCGGCCACACUGGGACUGAGACACGGCCCAGACUCCUACGGGAGGCAGCAGUAGGGAAUCUUCGGCAAUGGACGAAAGUCUGACCGAGCAACGCCGCGUGAGUGAAGAAGGUUUUCGGAUCGUAAAACUCUUUUGUUAGAGAAGCGGUAUCUAACCAGAAAGCCACGGCUAACUACGUGCCAGCAGCCGCGGUAAUUC
rnacentral:rRNA from 1 species